rnacentral:sRNA from 1 species
UACAAAUCGUGUAUAGGUCCCAAUAAUGC